AAGAAAAAUAAAAAUGAUAUUCAAGCAAAAAUUAGAUCGACGUGACGAUAAUCGUUUUUUUAUAUUUAUAACGAUUCAAAUAAACACGAUAAAACUUUACAGCUGUAUAGCAGUAAUUCAACACUUGAUAAGCUUAGAUGAUGUAAAUAAACGUUAUAAAACGUGAGUAAAAAUGCUUCAUCGACGGAUAGAAGUGAAAAAGAUAUUAUAAGAAGGAUCAUAUGAUUCUGAAUCAGAAAUUUGACUUUGCGACAGUAAGUACAAUUAUGUCACGUGUCGUAUCAACUGACAGAUAUUCAAAGCGUUGCGUCAGCGAAUUUCGGCAAAAAAAAUGUUAUCCAUAUAUUUAAAAAUAAUUUUAGAAAAAAUCUUUUUUGCCUGUGUAUUGUAUUUUAUUAUUAUAUAUUAAAUUAUAUUAUUGUUUGUUAAAUACGCAUUUAAUGUUCCUAAAAAUUUUCAAAGAAAUUAAUUCUUGGAAUUAAUCCUUGUGAUUAGUACGUUCCCCUCGCAUUAACACGCUGGAUUAAUUAAAAACACGAAAUCAAUACGGUAGACGAAGCAUGGCAUCACGCACGAAUUGAGUCGAAUACCAUAAUCAUGAGACAGGGGAUCAACCAUCUCGUUAUUAAUUAAUGACUGGAAUUAAUUAUGGGAAUCAGCUCGCUCGUAUGCGAGCAUUAUCAGAUCGGCUUACAUUCUCAGGCGAAAUCGAAUAACGGUAAUUCCGACACCUUUUCGAUGCAAUAAAACACCUUCGUAUAUAUUACAGUGCGCUGCUACAUAAUAUUUAUUAUUUAUAUAUUUAUAAAAUAGAGAUUAUAGGCUAAACUCGCGUGUUAUGACCAUAAUUUUUAAAAUGCAAAAAACACAUUUUUUUAAAUUAUUUUUUAAUAGCGUUUGGUAUAUUAUUCUGGUAUAUAUUGUAAUUCAUUCGACGUUGUGACAAUUUUUAAUGAACACAUAAAAAACUAUGUAGGCAGUCAAAAGUAAAAACGUGAUAUAAUAUCUACAAUAUUGCUAUUUCAAAUAGGAUAUGCACAUAAACUACAAUAAAUAUUGAUUAUUUUUAAUAAUAAUUACAAGAAUACAUUAUUUAUUAUUAGAGAAAGCAUAGCUAUUGGCCAUCUUCGUAUCAUCAUACCCUAACUUAUCCUACAGAUAUUAAAACAGAAAAUAAUUUUUAAAAAUAUGUUUUUACAAAAAAAAUUUGCGCAAGCAUAAAAAAUAUAUUUUAAUUCAUCAAAAAUUAAAAUUAAAAUUCUGAUGACAGCUAGCAUAAGAUUUAUACAUAUUAAAUUUGUUUAACAAAAUGGUCAAAAUAUUUUGCUUCGUAUACAUUGAAAGAGAAAUCAAAUUCUGGAUUUAUGCAUUUUACAAACUUUAAGAUACCAAUGAGAGUCAUUAAAUGUAUAUCAAGUUAAUUAACACUUGCAUCCGAAACGAUGACGUUAAUGUCUGGAUACACACAUGAUGGAUAUGAAAAUGUUUCACAAUGUCGAUGCUUCUGAGAAUUUAUAAUCACGCAUAACAAGCAAGAUUCAAUUAGUGGCUCAAUUAGUGCUUCACCAAUUUUAAUUUACAUAAAUGCACUUUAUAAACACAUUGCAUUUUUAUUCAAGUAUAAAAAUAUGGCACCAUUCUUUUUAAAGAGGAAAAAAUCAGUCUCUUAGCCAAAAAAUAAAAAAUAUUUUAUCAAAUAUAUUUCAAAAUAUUUUUUGUAAGUUCUUAAUUAUAAUGCAAAAAAAUUCUAAAUCAAAAACACGUGGCUUUCCGCAAAAACGUGGUAAAUAAUUGACUCGAGAACAAAAUUUACAUUAACCCCUGGACUAUCUCAAAAUUGAACUGCUCAGCUGCUUCACGACCGCUAUAUUAUACUUUCCCUCGUCGAAUUAUCGAAAGCGGUCUACGCAUCCGGAUAAUAUCGACGAAUUACGUGAAACAAGAGUGGUUAACACGGUAAAUUUAGAUUGACCGUGGGGGUCAAUGAUUGGUCGAUCAAGUUCAGCAGCCAGUUAGCCGACAGUUAGUCUGCUGUCGUCCGGCUAACGACUUAAUGACGGGAAUUCACCACUUACAAGUUCCUCUUUUUCUCCCUCCAUUCUAUCCUCUUCUCUUUCACUUCCCCCGUUUCUCUUUUGUUCGCAGUUCUUUUCCCCUCUUUUAUCGGCAAUGUUAUUCGCGUAAAACAACGCGGUCGACAGACCAGUAACAAUGACGAAAAUUAGUCAACGCUUAAAUAGGAUUGUCAUUAACUAUUAUUGUGUCGCAUAAAUUAGCUAUCGGAAGAAAUAAAUUUAAAUGAGAGAAUAUACGCCAAAAUGAACAUAUAACAAGAAAAUAAUGGAUACGUUCUCCCUAACAUUUUCUAAAACUUUUUUCUGCUUCAAAAUAUUUUAGAACUAAAAAUGUAUGUAUGACUAAAGAUGUAAAAAAUGCUAUUAACAAGUUUCCAUAAAUAAAAGUUAUUUAUAACUAUUUAAUAAUAUAUAAUUUUAAAAAAAAUGUCAAGCUAUUAUGUCUCUAUUACUAAUUCAUUCAUUAUUUUUUUAAUUAUUCCUUGUUUCUAAAAUAGUAUUUAUUAACAUAAUACUGAAAAAUAUUACGAUCAAAACAUAAUUAUGUGGAUAAUGAGUGUUGAUGUGAAUAAUGAUAGAAAUCGCGCUUGUCGUAUGUCUAGUGCAAAACACGUUUCGUGUUACUUUUUAUUUAUACCGUCAUAAUAUUAUUUUAUCUAACAUCUUUUCUUCUUUCUUGUCUUCUUAUUUUGAGCAUAAAUUACAUUUAUCGCAUUUUAAAAUCAGAACGUGCACGGGGAAAACCUGUUCAUAAUCAAUCCAAACAAAAAUUUAAUGAUACGAGUUAGAAAUAUAAACGUUGUGCGAUAUAAUAUUGGCGAAGACUCGUACUCUCUUAAACAGAUUUUAUUACAUUUGUUAUUUAAUUAACGUCGAAACGUAUCUAUCAAUUCGUAAUUUCUGUUUCUUUUCGUUUUCAUUGCUGUUAAAUGAAGUGAUCCAUCGCAAUCAACUGAUGUAUAAAGAUAAUCAUCUUGAUAUCUACGCCUCAUUAAAUUAAAGUUGAUGAGAACCUUUCGAUGCGCGCAAUCUAAUUUUUCUUUAAGAACGUUUCAAUGUUCCAAAAGAUCUAUGUUUAAUUUUUACAGAUGCAUCUAUAUUACAAACACAGAUUUAACAGCCUAUAUCUAUGUCUAUAUACUACCCAUCUGUGUACUAUCUAUAUAUACUACACUUAUCAAUCAUACAUUUAUAAAUCCGCUGAAAAAAAUUUCCUGCAGCAUUAUAUGAUAAAUAAUAUAUUCUGUAUAUAUGCAUAGUAAUAUGCUAUUUAAUAAUGCUAAUUAAUAGUAAGAUGGAUAAAACGUCUGUUAGAUAUUACGAAACCUAAUUUAUCCAAGAAAUAUCCGUAGUUUGCGUGUUUUAACGCUAAAGUUGCCAAGCAAUUCUUUACGUAAUAGUUCUCAUACAUUUUGCAGCAUGAGAAACGGGCACAAUAGAAACAGACACAUUCGUUGGUAAGACCUUGUCGAAUGCUCAUGAUUAUUUGUGCAUCGAGUUUUUAAAGUGUGAAAACAUCAUUAAAUCUGCUAUUUUGAUGAAAAAUUUAAGUAGCAAUUAAAAUUUAUUUUUUUAUGAAGCAAAUAGUGUAAAUUUUACAAGAUAUGGAUGUAAAUACCACUAAUACAUUUAUUAAAGACGAAACUGAACCGUUGCAAUGGCAAGACUAUUUUGUGAUCAGUACACUUAUGUUGAUUUCUGUCAUUAUCGGGCUUUACUAUCGAUUCAGCGGUGAUCGACAACGUACUGUAACGGAAUACUUCCUCGCGGACAACUCAUUAGGUAUCUCAUCUUAUUUUAUCUUCCCGUUCGCCACAAUGGCCUCCUACGUAUCAGGAGUUAUUAUGCUUGGAAAGACCGGGGAAAGUUAUACAUACGGUCUGAUUAUUGUAUUAAUGUAUCUGACCGACGUUUAUGUCGUGCCGAUCGUAGUCCUUUGUUAUCUGCCAGUCUUCUAUAAGUUGAAAAUCCUAAGUAUUUAUGAAUAUCUGGAAAGACGAUUUGGGUUGUACACGCGGUUACUCGUAAGCGUGACUAACUUCAUCGAUACGAUAUUAUUGAAUGGAGUAUUGCUCUACAUUCCUUCGUUAGCUCUCGAAGCUACCACAGGGUUGUCUAGUGCAACUAGCAUUUUGAUACUCGCUACAGUUUGUAUCUUUUAUUCCACGUUGGGUGGUAUCAAAGCGGUUUUGAUGACCGGAGUCUUCCAAGGUUUGUUUAUGACAAUCGCUCUCUGCAUCGUCAUCGGCACCAUCGCCGACAACAUCGACGGAGGAAUCGGUGCUAUUUGGAGUAUCGCGAGAGAAGGACAGCGUAUAGAUUUUUCUGAAUGGACUGCAGAUCCAACUGUACAAUAUACGGGAUUGAGUCUUUUAUUUGGAGGAGGAUCAAUGUGUCUGACUUAUCUUGGAGUGACCCAAGUGCACAUUCAACGUUUAUUGACUUCUAAAAAUCUAAAAAUAGCCAUAAACGCAUUGUUUUUGAGUGGUCCAUUUAUCUCAUUAGCAGGAAUUUUAAUAUGUUUCGCCGGAUUGUCACUUUAUGCGAUCUACAAAGAUUGUGAUCCUGUUGCCUCUGAACAAAUUUCGACCUACGACAAAAUAUUGCCACAUUUCACUGUGGAAAACUUAUCACCUGGAGUAAUUGGCCUUAUUGUUUCCGGUAUCUUUAGCGCCAUCAUGAGUACGAUUUCCGCUAUAAUAAAUUCAUUAGCUGCCGUGGCGCUUGAGGACUAUGUAAAACCAUUGUCUCGAAAAUAUGGCAGGAAUAUCUCUGACAAAAAGGCCAUUUUCAUAGCCAAACUUCUUACCGUUUUAAAUGGCAUUAUUUGCAUAUGUGUAGCGUUACUUGCAGACACAGUGGACAAAGUAAGCACCGUUGCUUUUAAAAUUCAUGGAGCUGUUAGUGGACCGAUUUUAGGUAUUUUUACUCUCGGAAUGAUCAAUGAAAGUGCUAACGAGAUGGGAUCUAUCAUUGGUAUGAUUACGGCAUUAAUCGUCUGCUUGUGGGCCGGUUUCGGGCAACCUAAGCCACCAGUACCAAAGUUACCUGUAUCGAUCGAAGGUUGCGCGAAUUCUACAGCAUGGAUGUUUACUGAACAAAUGGAUUUUAACAGAUAGAUGCAACGAAACAUUUCCUUUGAACUAUAAAAGAUUCAUCUCGGGCAUUGCGUAAUGUUCAAAUAUUAGCAUUACAGCACUAUCGGAAAUAAAUGCAAUACAUAUUCACAAUGUAAGCCAUUUAUCUCGGUCAUCGUAGACCGAAUCGAACGAGCAUAAAUUUAUCUUAGGAAAACAGAUAUGGGAGAAAGAAGGGCGACAACGGACGGCCAGUAUCGCGCGACGAUUACAAUAUGAAUUAUCGACGCACUAUAAAUCGUCUUAUCGCGACUCUUUGAAAUACGAGUACUAUACAACCAGAUCAGUCGUCGUAUUUUUAUUUAUAUCGCAUCUCUUAUUUAUGGCAUAAUCUUAUGGGAAUGACAAUUACUC